CGCCUGUUUAUCAAAAACAUGUCUUUUUGAUUUUAGAAAUAUAAAAAGUCUGACCUGCCCGGUGAGUAUAUUAAACGGCCGCGGUAUUUUGACCGUGCGAAGGUAGCAUAAUCAAUUGUCUUAUAAUUGAAGACUGGAAUGAAUGGUUGAACGAAAUUAAAACUGUUUCAUUUGUAUUAAUUAGAAAUUGGUUUUUAAAUGAAGAGAUUUAAAUUUAAUUAAUAGACAAGAAGACCCUAUUGAGCUUAAAAUAACUUUAAAAUUAAAAAUUUAUUAUUAGAGAUUUAAGUUUUAAAUGUUUUUUAGUUGGGGCGACUAAGGAACAGGAGAAGCUUCCUUUAUUUGUUAAAUUGAUGAAUUUUGAUCCAGUAUUGAGCUGAUUAAUGGAGAUAGUUACCAUAGGGAUAACAGCAUAAUCCUCUUGGAGAGUUCUUAUCAAAAAGGGGGGUUGUGACCUCGAUGUUGGAUUAAAAUAUCCUAAGGGUGUAGAGGCUUUUAAGGGUUGGUCUGUUCGACCAUUAAAAUUUUACGUGAUCUGAGUUCAGACCGG
rnacentral:rRNA from 1 species